rnacentral:rRNA from 1 species
GAAGGACGCUGAGGGAAACCGCUUUAACAUGCAAGUCGAACGGGGUCAAGGGGCUUGCUCCUUGACCUAGUGGCGAACGGGUGAGUAAUACAUCGGAACGUGUCCCGUAGUGGGGGAUAACGCAGCGAAAGCUGUGCUAAUACCGCAUAUGCUCUGAGGAGGAAAGCGGGGGACCGCAAGGCCUCGCGCUAUGGGAGCGGCCGAUGUCCGAUUAGCUAGUUGGUGGGGUAAAGGCCCACCAAGGCGACGAUCGGUAGCUGGUCUGAGAGGAUGAUCAGCCACACUGGAACUGAGACACGGUCCAGACUCCUACGGGAGGCAGCAGUGGGGAAUUUUGGACAAUGGGGGAAACCCUGAUCCAGCCAUUCCGCGUGAGUGAAGAAGGCCUUCGGGUUGUAAAGCUCUUUCGGCAGGGAAGAAACGGGCACGGAUAAUACCUGUGUCUAAUGACGGUACCUGACUAAGAAGCACCGGCUAACUACGUGCCAGCAGCCGCGGUAAUACGUAGGGUGCGAGCGUUAAUCGGAAUUACUGGGCGUAAAGCGUGCGCAGGCGGUUUUGCAAGUCAGAUGUGAAAGCCCCGGGGCUUAACCUGGGAACUGCGUUUGAAACUGCAAGGCUAGAGUUUGGCAGAGGGGGGUAGAAUUCCACGUGUACCACUGAAAUGCGUAGAUAUGUGGAGGAAUACCGAUGGCGAAGGCAGCCCCCUGGGUCUAA